AUUGAACGCUGGCGGCAGGCCUAACACAUGCAAGUCGAGCGGAUGAGUGGAGCUUGCUCCAUGAUUCAGCGGCGGACGGGUGAGUAAUGCCUAGGAAUCUGCCUGGUAGUGGGGGACAACGUGUCGAAAGGAACGCUAAUACCGCAUACGUCCUACGGGAGAAAGUGGGGGAUCUUCGGACCUCACGCUAUCAGAUGAGCCUAGGUCGGAUUAGCUAGUUGGUGAGGUAAAGGCUCACCAAGGCGACGAUCCGGAACUGGUCUGAGGGGAUGAGCAGGCCAACUGGAACGGGGACACGGUCCAGACUCCUACGGGAGGCAGCAGUGGGGAAUAUUGGACAAUGGGCGAAAGCCUGAUCCAGCCAUGCCGCGUGUGUGAAGAAGGUCUUCGGAUUGUAAAGCACUUUAAGUUGGGAGGAAGGGCAGUAAGUUAAUACCUUGCUGUUUUGACGUUACCAACAGAAUAAGCACCGGCUAACUUCGUGCCAGCCGCCGCAGUAACAC
rnacentral:rRNA from 1 species